rnacentral:rRNA from 1 species
UGGGGAAUUUUGCGCAAUGGGCGAAAGCCUGACGCAGCAACGCCGCGUGGGUGAUGAAGGUCUUCGGAUCGUAAAACCCUGUCGUCAGGGACGAAGGUUGUAUGUCUAAUAGAUGUGCAACUUGACGGUACCUGGAGAGGAAGCCCCGGCUAACUCUGUGCCAGCAGCCGCGGUAAUACAGAGGGGGCAAGCGUUAUUCGGAAUUAUUGGGCGUAAAGGGCGCGUAGGCGGUGGUUUAAGUGAGAUGUGUAAUCCCCGAGCUUAACUUGGGAACUGCAUCUCAGACUGGAUCGCUAGAGUGCUGGAGAGGGUGGUGGAAUUCCACGUGUAGCGGUGAAAUGCGUAGAGAUGUGGAGGAACACCAGUGGCGAAGGCGGCUUCCUGGUCUGUAACUGACACUGAGGCGCGAAAGCGUGGGGAGCAAACA